rnacentral:misc_RNA from 1 species
AAGUCGUAACAAGGUUUCCGUAGGUGAACCUGCGGAAGGAUCAUUAACGAAUAACUAUGGUGUCUUGGUUGUAGCUGGCUCCUCGGAGCAUUGUGCACGCCCGCCAUUUUUAUCUUUCCACCUGUGCACCGACUGUAGGUGUCUGGAUAACCCUCAUCUUCCUCUCUUGAGGAAGGGCGGAUGCGAGGAUUGCCCGUGAGGGCUCUCCUCGAAUUUCCAGGCUCCUACGUCUUUUACACACCCCAAAAGUAUGAUAUAGAAUGAUAGUCAAUGGGCUUUCACAGCCUAUACAACACUAUACAACUUUCAGCAACGGAUCUCUUGGCUCUC